GCGUGGGGAAGGUGCUAUAGGUGCGGCUCAAAUUGUUUUCCUGGAAGUCAGAGAAGGGAAGUGUCAGUGGCUGCAACGUUUGGAGAAACACCAACAAAAUGUCCUUCGAUCUGUCUUCAGCUGUGGGAGGAAAAGAGGAUGAAGUGAAGAAGGAGGAAGCUCAGAAGGACGAGUUUGGCCUCCCAUGGAGCAAAAAAAAGGAUAAGGACAAGAAGGUAGGAGGGAAGGGGAUUGAUUGUACACCAGUCACCUCCAGAUGCACAAGUGUUUUUAAUUGGAAGAUCUUUUUAGGCUUGCAUGAGUUUCACAUGGGAGAAAAAACAUUUUAAUAGAUGGAGGGUUUUUGAUCAGUUUGGUUCUGAAUUUUUAUCGGGGUGAAUGAGGUGCAACUUUUUCUUUUCUCAGGGAGAUAAGUCUGACCACAAAGACAAGUCUGACCACAAAGACAAGUCUGACCACAAAGACAAGUCUGACCACAAAGACAAGUCUAAGGAUGGCAGUGGUGAAAAGAAGAAAAAGAAGGAGAAGAAGGGAAAGAAGGAAAAGAAAGAUGGAGGCAGCUCAUCUUCAUCUUCUUCCAGCAGUGAUGAGGACUGAUCAUCUCCCCCUGUGGACCUGCUCACUGUGUUCCCCACUCCAGCCCUGAUUCAUUUAGGUGUGUCUGUGUGGUUUAUAAGUGCCAGAUGAUAAAUAUGUGACAACAAAACUGAUUUCUAAAAUUAAAAGUUGUGAUUAAAUAAAUAAAGGAUUUUCCUCUUU